GGGGAAGAGGCCCCCAAUGUGCACAUUAGAGAAACAACAGAUGAUGGCUGGAAUGAGAUCUGAGAAAGAUCAUCACAUACUACUUGAUGUGACUGCGGAUUCUUCCUCGGCAGCUACAGCGUCACUCUGAGCACACCAGAGUCCCCCAAGUGUUCCAUGAAGGGCGCUCCUGUUCUGGCAGGCACUGCUACUGUCUAUGCUGGCCAUGUCUGUCACCAC